ACAAAAGGCAAGUGUCCAGCAGCAGCAGCAGCAGCAGCAGGGCGUGCCAGUGACUCCUCCUCUGCCAGGAAACAAUCAGAGUUCAAGUAAUUUAGAGGAAUUCCCAUCUAGGUCUAAAACAUGUAAUAGUUCUGAAGAGGAGUCCAGGCGCUGGACGUUCCCGCACUGAGCACGUGUAUGGACGCACCCUUCAAGUCUGCUUCCGGGAUCAGCUCCGCUGAAAUGAAGAGGGAGCACAGCUGUCCCACCAGCUCCGGAGAUCUGCCGGUGGAUGCUCACAGCCUAAAAACACAAAACAUCCAGUAAUAUCAACUGACAACUGUUAAUCCCAGUCAACAAUUCCAGAAGCACACAAAGUGUCCUUAGAGAACUGGAUAAUCUCUUUCACUCUCUCCUGGCAAGGCUGAAAGACGAAGGGAAAGUAUUUAAGAGUGCACCACACUGUUCGUGAAACCAGGUUAAACUCUGACUUUGUCUCCUUUCAGCAAUAAGAAUAUUUAUAUGUUGAGCAAUUCUCGUGUUACAUUCAAUGCAUGUACAGCUAAAUGUAAUUGAAACCCCACAUUUCUCCCGGUACUGUUCCCCCAUUUCAUUGGUAAACACAUAGGGUAUCUAUGUGUUCACUGUAACAUGUGAACGGGGCUGUUAAACACUCAAGCAGGAUAACCAGUUUCUUAAUAGAUAACAACUAAAAGAACUUAACGAAGAGUCUCUUGACUUGGUUCAGUAGUUUCUGUGCUGUCAUACUUGAUUCUCUUAAGGAAAAAAAUCACACCAGCCUGCCAACCACUAGGUCACACCCCCAAAGCACAGAGUCAGAGUUAUAAGAGACCAGAAGGGCCAUCAAAUCCAACCCCUGCUGUGCAGGAAGACACAGUUAAGAAAGGACUCCUGACAGAUGGCCAUCCAGCCUCUGUUUAAAAACCUCCAGAGAAGGAGACUCCACCACUCUCAGAGGCCGUGCAUUCCACUGCCAAACAGCCCUGACGGUCAGGAAG